rnacentral:tRNA from 1 species
GGGGCUGUAGCUUAGUGGUAAAGCAUUUGCCUCGCAUGUGAGAGGCACUAGGUUAGAUCCUCAGCUCCA